CUACAACUGACUGGAAAUUGUUUGUUGUUGUUAUUGUUGUUGUUAGCCUCAAGACUAGAGCUGAAACAACUAAUCGAUUUAAUCGAUUAUAAUCGAUUAUUAAAAUAGUUAACAACUUUUUUAGUCAUCGAUUAGUUGUUUAAUAAUCAUAUUUUACCGCAUAAAGUCUAUUUUUACCACAAUCUGACAUCGGUUACAAGCUGUUAAAUUUGCCGCCAGUGUGUGGCAGUAAUGAGCCACUGAUCUACCAGUGGAGCCGUAGAAGAAGAAAUGAGCCAAUGAGUGCCCUCGGUUUUCAUGACGUAUCACGUUACUGACGCUCAUCUUGCUGUGAGAGAUGGCGGAACAAGAGGAAAUACGGAAGAAAAAUAGAAGCGACAAAACUGAAGAGAAACCCCGGACAAAAACCUCACGAGUAUGGGAGCACUUUACUCUAGAUGCCUUGAAAAGACGGGUGACCUGUAAAAUAUGCAAAAACCAUCUAGCAUAGCACGGAAGCACGACGUCCCUAAGUGAACAUUUGAGACGAAAACAUGUGGGGGCUGAUGCAGCAGAGGAAGAGCACCGCGGUCAAGUGAGCCGUCAUUUGGAAGAGCCAGCCCGAAAAAAAAACAAGCAACGAUGGACAACUACAUGGGGAACAAGACACUCACCCCCCAGCAAUUCAUACCACUUACAAACUCUAUUCUAAACAUGCUGGUAAAAGACAUGAGGCCACUAUCCAUGGUGGAAGGAGCAGGCUUCCAGCUAAUGCUAAAAAAUUAUUCUGGACUGAUAUUUUGCACUGUUUAGCUCAUUUUAUACUGCUGACUGUGUUCAUGUGCAAUAAAAUAGAUUGCAGUCAACU